UGUUAAAAAUUUUAUCCAUUUGUCCCAUUAAAAAUUAACUUGGCUAAUAGAAUAAUUAGACAGUGACACGUGGCAUGCUAAAUGUACCUUAUGUUAACGUACUGAGACCAGUUUUUAAUAGUGAAAAUUGAUGGAAUUUUUAACA
rfam:Gossypium arboreum cultivar AKA8401 contig_3122_3, whole genome shotgun sequence.